UACGGAGGAUGCGAGCGUUGUCCGGAAUGAUUGGGCGUAAAGGGCGCGUAGGCGGCUUGAUAAGUCUGGAGUGAAAGUCCUGCCUUCAAGGUGGGAAUUGCUUUGGAUACUGUUGAGCUUGAGUGCAGGAGAGGUAAGUGGAAUUCCCAGUGUAGCGGUGAAAUGCGUAGAGAUUGGGAGGAACACCAGUGGCGAAGGCGACUUACUGGACUGUAACUGACGCUGAGGCGCGAAAGUAUGGGGAGCAAAC
rnacentral:rRNA from 1 species